AAUAUUGCACAAUGGGGGAAACCCUGAUGCAGCGCCGCCGCGUGAGUGAAGAAGUAUUGCGGUAUGUAAAGCUAUAGCAGCAGGGAAGAAAUUGACUGUACCUGACUACGAAGCCCCUGCUAACUACGUGCCAGCAGCCGCGGUAAUACGUAGGAGGCAAGCGUUAUCCAGAUUUACUGGGUGUAAAGGGAGCGUCGGUGGUUUGGUAAGUCAGAUGUGAAAGCCCUGGGCUCAACCCCGGGACUACAUUUGAAACUAUCAAACUAGAGUGCAGGAGAGGUAAGUGGAAUUACUAGUGUAGCGGUGAAAUGCGUAGAUAUUAGGAGGAACACCAGUGGCGAAGGCGGCUUACUGGACUGUAACUGACACUGAGGAUCGAAAGCGUGGGGAGCAAACA
rnacentral:rRNA from 1 species